AUUGAACGCUGGCGGCAUGCCUUACACAUGCAAGUCGAACGGUAACAGGUCUUCGGAUGCUGACGAGUGGCGAACGGGUGAGUAAUACAUCGGAACGUGCCUAGUAGUGGGGGAUAACUACUCGAAAGAGUGGCUAAUACCGCAUGAGAUCUACGGAUGAAAGCAGGGGAUCGCAAGACCUUGUGCUACUAGAGCGGCCGAUGGCAGAUUAGGUAGUUGGUGGGAUAAAAGCUUACCAAGCCGACGAUCUGUAGCUGGUCUGAGAGGACGAUCAGCAGCACUGGGACUGAGACACGGCCCAGACUCCUACGGGAGGAAGCAGUGGUGAAGUUUGGACGAUGGGCGCAAGCCUGAUCCAGCAAUGCCGCGUGCAGGAUGAAGGCCUUCGGGUUGUAGACUGCUUUUGUACGGAACGAAAAGCCCCGGGUUAAUACCCUGGGGUCAUGACGGUACCGUAAGAAUAAGCACCGGCUAACUACGUGCCAGCCGCCGCAGUAA
rnacentral:rRNA from 1 species